GGCAGCAGCUAAGAAUAUUCCGCAAUGGACGAAAGUCUGACGGAGCGACGCCGCGUGGAUGAUGAAGGCCGGAAGGUUGUAAAAUCCUUUUGGAAGCGAGGAAUAAUUAAAGUGAGAGAAACGGGCUGAGGUGACGGCAGCUUCUGAAUAAGCAACGGCUAAUUACGUGCCAGCAGCCGCGGUAACACGUAAGUUGCGAGCGUUGUUCGGAAUUAUUGGGCGUAAAGGGCAUGUAGGCGGUCUUGCAAGUCUGGUGUGAAAUUCCGUGGCUCAACCACGGAACUGCGUUGGAAACUGCAUGACUGGAGUCGCUGAGGGGCAGGCAGAAUUCCUGGUGUAGGGGUGAAAUCUGUAGAUAUCAGGAAGAAUACCAAUGGCGAAGGCAGCCUGCCAGCAGAUGACUGACGCUGAGGUGCGAAGGUGCGGGGAGCAAACAGGAUUAGAUACCCUGGUAGUCCGCACAGUCAACUAUGUGCACUGGAUGUCCGGACAGAAGUCUGGGUGUCGAAGCAAACGCGAUAAGUGCACCGCCUGGGGAGUAUGCCCGCAAGGGUGAAACUCAAAGGAAUUGACGG
rnacentral:rRNA from 1 species